rnacentral:antisense_RNA from 1 species
UUCAAUGGUGGCGUUAUCGGAGCACCCGAAAGGGUGGCUGGUUUCCUUUACUACCAGUUUCUCACCUCUGGCAACGUCACCACCCUA